CUACGGGGUGCUCCAGUGGGGAAUAUUGCACAAUGGGCGCAAGCCUGAUGCAGCCAUGCCGCGUGUAUGAAGAAGGCCUUCGGGUUGUAAAGUACUUUCAGCGGGGAGGAAGGGAGUAAAGUUAAUACCUUUGCUCAUUGACGUUACCCGCAGAAGAAGCACCGGCUAACUCCGUGCCAGCAGCCGCGGUAAUACGGGGGGUGCAAGCGUUAAUCGGAAUUACUGGGCGUAAAGCGCACGCAGGCGGUUUGUUAAGUCAGAUGUGAAAUCCCCGGGCUCAACCUGGGAACUGCAUCUGAUAAUGGAAAGCUUGAGGCUCGUAGAGGGGGGUAGAAUUCCAGGUGUAGCGGUGAAAUGCGUAGAGAUCUGGAGGAAUACCGGUGGCGAAGGCGGCCCCCUGGACGAAGACUGACGCUCAGGUGCGAAAGCGUGGGGAGCAAACAGGAUUAGAUACCCGGGUAGUC
rnacentral:rRNA from 1 species